rnacentral:lncRNA from 1 species
CGCACUGAUCAGGUAUCGUUCAUCUCUCGACUCGACCUGCUGUGAAAGAGUUACAGCGUGCCUGAUACAUAAACUCUUUCCCCUCCCCACCAACGUCACCAUCCCUCCGAAACUAACAACAUGGAGUCCGGUGUUUAGAGUGCAAAGGCGGUCUUCACCGUUAGCUGCACCUAUAUGCUUUUCCCGGUGCUCCCGAGGGAAGGCAGCGACGCUCCGGGACGCAAAAAGCGCAACGCACACAUGCACAAUAUGCGCUCGUGCGUUCGUGCAACUUGAAUCCAUGUAGGACACGGAGAGCGCGAUGUGAUUGGACGCAGAAGAUUCCAAAGACAGGCCGCUUUCCGUGAGUGUUGCACAAUUCCAUCCUCGCCGCACACAUCCAGAAAGAUGUUUAACAGAUCGUGUUCCUGGAGAAGGACAGCGUUUGCAGAUCGUCCUGACAUCGCAAGUUAUAAACGCACGAAAACUGCAUAGACGAGCCCAUUUAUUAAGGGAGCCGGUAUAUAUAUAUAUUUUGUCCCCAGUAAAAACGGCCUCCUUCGGUAUUAUCAACAUAGGAAAUGAGGCAUGAUAAAAUAGGUCAGACAGAGUGACACUUCUCAGGAGUUAAACACAAAGAUUUAGUUAUUCAAAUGCACUCUUUAAAGGUUGGACAGCACAGAGCACUAUAAUUUAUCAUCAAAUGAACCUCCUGAGAUAGCUAAUAAACAUCUUGCAUGCUCUUCUACAUGCUUUCUUUAAAGAACCCAUAAUAUUUAGACUUUUGAGGCUUCAGGUCCAUAUCUAUGCUUGCAGUUAUUAGAAUUGCUCUUUAUAAUGUAGGACAGGAGAAGUGGACAGCAGUUGCACCCAAGGGGACCAUGGAGCCUGAGGAUGAUCUCUCGACCAGGGACCCUCAAGAUCUGAUGUCCAGCCGAGGGCUACUGCCUUCAGCAUCCACCUCCUUACUCAGCUGCACCUUCCUGGGGGGGUUAUUGCAUUGUGAUGACACAAUGGAGAAGGGUGAUGGAAAUGGAGAUUCAGACGGUCCAAAAUGCUUUUCCCCCACACUGGAGCAAUGUGGUAAAGCACAGAGAAGUCCACGAUCUUCAGCCUUCCCCUCAUCUCUGACAUGGGACUCGGACUCGGAGAAAGACACCUUGGACGGUAAUAGUUUCUCUGGUUCAUUCUUACUUUCAAGUCAGUGAAAAAUACAUGCAUGUCUGAAUCAUACACUAUCAGGAAAAAAGGUACAAAAGCUGUAGGUACACUGUUGUUCGUUUUAGUUACUUAUAUGCACCCUUUAGGUACAAAAGUGUACCUUUUUUCCUAAAAGUGUAAGAAACAAUGACUGGAAAAGGGAAUCUGCUAUGAUUCAGCUAGUUUCAGACUGAGCUAUUCUGUGUUUGUACUGUGAAACAUGUCUCUCUGUGAACAACGUUAAUGGUUUUGUCUGUCUGCAUGCUGUAGAUAUAACUGUGAGUCUACUGCUUUCUGUUAAGUCAUGUGUAUAUUGUUUGUGUUCCUGUGUGGAUUCCAAUGGUUUAUGUCAGAGGAAGAACUUCAGCACUUUUCU